UACAGAGGUCCCAAGCGUUGUUCGGAUUCAUUGGGCGUAAAGGGUGUGUAGGUGGCGCCGUAAGUCGGGUGUGAAAUUUCGGAGCUUAACUCCGAAACUGCAUUCGAUACUGCGGUGCUUGAGGACUGGAGAGGAGACUGGAAUUCAUGGUGUAGCAGUGAAAUGCGUAGAGAUCAUGAGGAAGACCAGUGGCGAAGGCGGGUCUCUGGACAGUUCCUGACGCUGAGGCACGAAGGUCAGGGGAGCAAACGGG
rnacentral:rRNA from 1 species